GCUGUGUGCUGCGUCACGGCGUCGGCCGCGCUAGUCUGUGCGUGGCCGGCUCGGGGUGCGGACGCCCUCCGCCAUCAUGGCCUCUGCUGCCGCCACUCCACAGCCGCCCCCCCCGCCACCUCCUGCUGUUGCCACCGCUGCUGCCGCCGCCCCUCCGCCGCCGCCUCCUCCCGCCGCUCCGGGGAUUCUCAUCGGCGACCGGCUUUACUCGGAGGUGUCGCUGACGAUCGACCACUCGCUUAUCCCAGAGGAGCGCCUCUCGCCUACUCCCUCCAUGCAAGACGGCCUGGACCUGCAGUGCGAGACCGACCUGCGCAUCUUGGGCUGCGAGCUCAUCCAGGCGGCGGGCAUCCUCCUUCGGCUGCCGCAGGUGGCGAUGGCGACGGGGCAGGUGCUGUUUCAUCGGUUCUUCUACUCGAAGUCCUUCGUCAAACACAGUUUUGAGAUUGUUGCUAUGGCCUGCAUCAAUCUCGCAUCGAAAAUUGAAGAGGCACCUCGCCGUAUAAGGGACGUGAUCAACGUGUUCCACCAUUUGCGGCAGCUAAGAGCAAAAAGGACUCCAAGCCCCCUGAUACUUGAUCAGAACUACAUAAACACCAAAAAUCAAGUAAUCAAAGCAGAAAGGAGGGUACUGAAGGAGUUGGGAUUUUGUGUUCAUGUCAAGCAUCCACACAAGAUAAUUGUUAUGUAUUUACAAGUCCUAGAAUGUGAACGUAACCAAACCCUGGUACAGACAGCCUGGAAUUACAUGAACGACAGCCUCCGGACAAACGUCUUUGUUCGCUUCCAGCCAGAGACCAUAGCCUGUGCUUGCAUUUACCUGGCUGCUCGAGCUCUGCAGGUGAGUAUUACUGGCUGCCUUUUAGUCCAAAGAAUCUGCUUCACGAUGGAAGCUCUUUCAAACAAAAGCUUGGCCUGCAAUCUCCUCUUCCUGUUUGCUUUUCAGAUCCCACUCCCUACCCGUCCUCACUGGUUCUUGCUCUUUGGCACCACGGAAGAGGAGAUUCAGGAGAUCUGCUUAACUACUCUCAAGCUGUACACCAGAAAGAAGCCCAAUUACGAAUUUCUGGAUAAAGAAGUAGAAAAGAGGAAAAUGGCACUACAGGAAGCUAAGCUGAAGGCAAAAGGUUUGAAUCCAGAUGGAACUCCAGCGCUCUCUACCCUGGGUGGCUUUUCUCCUGCAUCUAAACCAUCUUCCCCAAGAGAAGUCAAAACUGAAGAGAAGACUCCAGUGUCUCUGAACACCAAGCCUGUUAAGAAAGAGCCAGAAGAGAGGCAGCAGGCUUCAAAGAGCCCUUACAACGGCAUGAGGAAAGAAAGCAAGAGGAGUAGAAGCAGCAGAAGCGCAAGCCGGUCCAGGUCGAGGACAAAGUCGCGGUCCCGGUCUCACACUCCCCGGCGGCACUACAACAACCGUCGGAGCCUGUCUGGUACCUACAGCUCCAGGUCGCGGAGCCGGUCCCGCAGCCACAGCGGCAGCCCCCGGCGCCACCACAACCACGGCUCCUCCCCGCACCUGAAGGCCAAGCACGGCAGGGAGGAGCUGAAGAGCACCAACAGACACGGCCACAAGAGGAAAAAGUCUCGGUCGCGCUCCCAGAGCAAGUCCAGGGAGCACUCGGAGGCCGCCAAGAAGCACAGGCAUGAGCGCGGCCACCACCGGGAGCGGCGUGAACGCUCCCGCUCCUUCGACAGGGCCCACAAGGGCAAGCACCACGGCAGCGGCCGCUCGGGGCACGGCCGGCACCGCCGCUGAGCUGCCACCGGCUCCGCCACCGAGCCUGGCGCCGCCACGCGGCCUGGCACCGACGGACUGUGUGCGCUGGGGCGGCGGAGCAGCCGCGGCAGCUGAGGCGCUAAACCCGCCCCAGGCUCCCAGAAGGCUGCUCUUUGGUUUCUGCCUUUUCUGCAGCAGUAUCCAAACUGGUGGCAAAGCAAGGAUCAGGUUGACGUUGUCUCUGUGUUUAGAGUCCUGUGUUGUUCAUCCAGCUGAGAACUGGAGAAUGGAUUCCUGUCCAAAAGAAAAAACAUGGGGAAGGAAAAAAAAAAAGAGGCAAAACUUCUCUUAUUUUUAUACCAACCAACUGCAGACACUUCUAUUUAAGUAGAGUUAUUUGUUUAAAGGAUGGUGGCUACCUUUCUUACACUGGUUUUAGUCUGCAUGUGUUGAAAGAUUUUUACAAGAAAUAAAAUCUAAAGCUUUA